AGCGUGGGAAGUUUAUUGCCUAUG
rnacentral:siRNA from 1 species